GGUUGGACAAUUUGACAGAAGAGCUAACAAGCCAGAGAGCUACCACGGGCUCCAAUUGUCUGUUUUGGCAUGGCAUCUACGGCUGGAUGCCCUUCCUAACACCAACCACUUUCCAGCAUGUUCUGGGUGUUUUUAUGUGGCACCAGCACAGAUGCUUUUU